GACGAACGCUGGCGGCGUGCUUAACACAUGCAAGUCGAACGGAAAGGCCCUGCUUUUGUGGGGGGCUCGAGUGGCGAACGGGUGAGUAACACGUGAGUAACCUGCCCUUGACUUUGGGAUAACUUCAGGAAACUGGGGCUAAUACCGGAUAGGAGCUCCUGCUGCAUGGUGGGGGUUGGAAAGUUUCGGCGGUUGGGGAUGGACUCGCGGCUUAUCAGCUUGUUGGUGGGGUAGUGGCUUACCAAGGCUUUGACGGGUAGCCGGCCUGAGAGGGUGACCGGCCACAUUGGGACUGAGAUACGGCCCAGACUGCUACGGGAGGCAGCAGUGGGGAAUAUUGCACAAUGGGCGGAAGCCUGAUGCAGCAACGCCGCGUGCGGGAUGACGGCCUUCGGGUUGUAAACCGCUUUCGCCUGUGACGAAGCGUGAGUGACGGUAAUGGGUAAAGAAGCACCGGCUAACUACGUG
rnacentral:rRNA from 1 species